rnacentral:rRNA from 1 species
AUUGAACGCUGGCGGCAGGCUUAACACAUGCAAGUCGAGCGGCGGAGGUUGCUUCGGUAACUGACCUAGCGGCGGACGGGUGAGUAAUGCUUAGGAAUCUGCCUAUUAGUGGGGGACAACAUUCCGAAAGGGAUGCUAAUACCGCAUACGCCCUACGGGGGAAAGCAGGGGAUCUUCGGACCUUGCGCUAAUAGAUGAGCCUAAGUCGGAUUAGCUAGUUGGUGGGGUAAAGGCCUACCAAGGCGACGAUCUGGAGCGGGUCUGAGAGGUUGAUCCGCCACACGGUGACUGAGACACGGCCGAGAUUCCGACGGGAGGCAGCAGUGGGGAAUAUUUGACAAUGGGCGCAAGCCUGAUCCAGCCAUGCCGCGUGAGUGAUGAAGGCCUAUGGUUGUAAAGCACUUUAAGCGAGGAGGAGGCUCUUUUGGUUAAUACCCAAGAUGAGUGGACGUUACUCGCAGAAUAAGCACCGGCUAACUCUGUGCCAGCCGCCGCCGUAAAAC